rnacentral:lncRNA from 1 species
AACCUGUCUCUUAUUUGCUGGUCCACCAUCUUGAAGAAAACCAUCGGUUGGGGACUGAUGUCUCUAAAUAUUCGGCCAGUACGCUCUCUCCAUAGAGAAUAAACAAUAACCUGCACAAGUAGCUUCAUAACAAUUUUCACCUGCGAUGAUGAAUAAACACCCUGGCAACUCAAACACAUCGAGACUGCAGCAGAAAGAUCUGUUGGAGGAGAGGUAAUAAAUCUGUCACAGAACUUAGACCAAAUAGCACCAGUAUAAGAACACUCAAA